UGGGAAAGCGAGUUCCGGGGCUCGCCUGGAGACGGUCCGGAAGCUGCGGCGAGCGCAAACUUCGCGGGGUGCGCGGACCCAGUCCCUGGGGGUUGGGCGUCCCCGCCAGGCAGUCCUCGCAGCCUUCUUUCAGCCUCAGCUCCUCCACUCCUAACUCCUCGUGCGUAUCCCGCCUCGUUAGUUAGGAGGCGCGGUCUUCGGACUUGAGACCAAUCUAACCAUAAAAUUUGCGCGGCCGUUACUGCUUAAGCAAAGAAUGUGAGCUGUUUUUUGCCCAGACAUCAUAGUUCCUGGAGUAGCGAAGACUGUGGCAGGAAGCCGAAUAUCAAGAAGGAGCAGGAGCGACAGAUGAAGAAAAGUUUUUAGCUGGAGUCGUGCUUGACACAGAAAAAGGAAAUAAGCCAAGUCUGCGUGCGGUCGUCGCAGUGCUUAACCCCUUAGCUCGGUCCAGGGGGGAUCCUUGAUGCGCGAUGAGGGAACCCUGAUCCGGGAGAACAGUGCAGAAAGACAGGAGCGGACUGGGAAUUGCGCCUGGAUAAGUCCGUGUGUGGUAGUCCACUGUAGAAGGUGACCUUCCUUCACACGAGAGACAGGAGGAGGGGAGAAUUGCACGGAAGGAGUUGCCAGCAGUGGAAGCUGCUCCACAGGUUUCAAGUCUAAAAACUAGGAACUGUUCGGAUGAGAUCACAUUAAAGUAGAUUACAGUAACAACUAGAAAUGGUAAAGGAUCCAAAUUUGCAAGAGAUGCAGGUGCGAAUGUGAAUUGAAGAGGAGCUUGCAAGCACUACUUCAAAACUUAAAACGCCUUUUUAUAGUUCCUUUUUCUCAAGCUUCCCCUGCUCUCCUGGCCCAGUACAUCCAGGCACUCCCAAAGGGAACAAUGAAUUUGUAAGAUUUUCGGGGAAUGUGUGGUUAUUGAAGAUCAUUAUUGGCAUUUAGAGUGCCAGUUCUAAGGAACACAAGACUUGUAAUGUUUGAAACAGUUUUGCACAAGGAAGAAUUAUCCUGAGUUCCAUACAACAUUCAAUCAGACAGUAACAUAAGUGAAAAAAUUGAUCAUAAUUGUUUAAACCAGGAUCAACUUUUAAAUACAAGUGCACAAGUGUUGGGUUUUUGUUUUUUGUAGCUUUAAAAUACACUAUUUCCAGAAAUACAACUGUAUGUAAACCAGGGGAAGAUUCUAUUUUAUUUUGUUCAGACCUGAUCAAGAGUUGUUUUCUCAUUUUAGAAAAUCUUACCACUGAGGGUAACUCACCUCAAGCUUUUGAGACAGAAAUGCAGCCCACUGAUAUCCGUCAGCUGGAUUAGUUGUGCCUAAUGAGCUUUAUUAUAAAUCUCUUCUGUUUCUCCACAUUUUGGGAGAGCAUUAAAACGAUUAAGAAAUU